rnacentral:sRNA from 1 species
GACAGCAGCAGUGACCUUAGCGGCCAAGAGGUGGCCGAAUACUUACUCUAAUGGGCUGGCCCAAGCCUGAGUGUCUAGAGUUCCCAGCUCGCUUAAGGAAGGAAGGAAAACACAGGCAGCUCUAAGUGUGCGAUGAGAGAGGUCUCAUCGGCAGUGAGGAAGCCCAGGCGGGUCCCCUUCCCAGCUGAAAGGAGUUCGGAAUUUCACUCUGUCGCCAGGCUGGAAUGCAGUAGGGCAAUCUCAGCUCACUGCAACCUCCACCUCGUGAGUUCAAGUGAUUCUCCUGCUUCAGCCUCCUGAGUAGCUGGGACUACAGCGGUGUCUGCUCCUGGCACCUCAGGCACUGUCAGGGGUAGGAGGUGGUGAUCAGAUAUGCUGGCUGUGAGCAGUGCAAGGGGAAGCAGGUGCCCAGAGGUGCAUCCCGGUUUGGUGGGGGUGACUAACAUGGACAGAACUGCGUCGCGCCUUAUACGGUGCGGCAAGUGUGACGUCAUUCGAACAAGCCAUAGGCUCCGCCCCCGGACUCAGCCACGCCCACAGGCUCCUGAAACCAC